CUACCCCUCAAGCGCGGCUUGUGUGUUGGGCGCUGUCCCUCCCCUUAUUCGGGGGGACAGGCCUGAAAGGCAGUGGCGGCGUCGCGUCCGGUCUUCGAGCGUAUGGGGCUUUGUCACCCGCUCUGUGAGGAUCCGGCCGGGGCCUGUCUCACCCCCCAAUCUUCUCUAA
rnacentral:misc_RNA from 1 species